UACAGAGGGUGCAAGCGUUGUUCGGGAUUAUUGGGCGUAAAGCGCGUGUAGGCGGCUUGGCAAGUCGGAUGUGAAAGCCCACGGCUCAACCGUGGAAGCGCAUCCGAAACUGCUUCGCUCGAGUCGCGGAGAGGAAGGUGGAAUGCUUGGUGUAGAGGUGAAAUUCGUAGAUAUCAAGCAGAACACCUGCGGCGAAGGCGGCCUUCUGGACGAUGACUGACGCUGAGACGCGAAAGCGUGGGGAGCAAACAGG
rnacentral:rRNA from 1 species